rnacentral:lncRNA from 1 species
GUAAUUAUUUUAUUCCAUAACGUUACAGUUUUGAUGUUGUUUCAUGUCAGAUGAUCGUGUUAGAUUACAUGUGUUAGUAUCUGGUGUUUCUUUUUCUUCUUCACUUGUGUUUUUUUUUUUUGGAAAUUCUGUACAGAAGAUGUAUACUAGCGCCCUCUACCACAUAAUAAUGAAAACACGGAUCCUAGGAGCACAAGUAUAGCUCAAAUGUAUUUAGAUUUUGUAAGUAUAACUCAAGUAUACUUAAAUGUCAUUUUAAGUAUAUUUCUGAGAAGUACAUAAAAAGUAAACUAAAAGCAUACUUUACUAUUUUUUAGUUUAAAAGAAGCAUACUAAUAGCACACUUGAAUAAACUUCUUUUUCGUAAGGGAACAAAUGAUUAAAAAGUAAUUAUUAUUUAAUGAUUAAAGAACAUUUAAGCUGUUGACAGGUUAAAGCUUCUAUUAACUUUUACUGAAUUGUUGUUGUUUUUCUUUCUCUCUAGACGAUUGUCGCUCUUUGCUUUUACACGUUUCUGGGCUCACUGUGCACAGUCCUUCUGGCCCAGCAAUUGUUCGUCUGGGAUCUUCAGGGGUUCUGCCCUGUUAUGUUGACAGACGUUUAUUAGAGCAAAGACGGAGAGUUGAAUGGAGAAGAACAGACUCAGAGGCUCUGGUUCAUCUGUAUCAACAUGCUCUUUUUGCAAGUGUUUGGGAAAAACUUGUGAAUUAUGCUGAGUUUGACAGAUUCGUGAUAAUAGCCCUGUUUUUAAUAUUGUUUAUGUGCUGCAUUUGCAAAAUCAUUUACCUUGCAGUUACAGAGGUCGGAAAGAGAAGUGGACAGAUAAUUGAAAUAUUUGACUUAGUGGCUGAUACGAUCUUUGAUAUUCUGCCUGCUUUACAAUUCAUCCUCCUCUUCUUCACUUUUGCAUCUGUCAGAGGAGGAUUCAUCAUUGUUGUCAUUUUACCAGUGUUACUGAUGAUGACAAAUGACAGAUGUUUUUUCAGAUGGUUUGAUAGACUCAGGUGUUCAUUUUCAGUCAUAAGAACAGUGAUGUUAAUCAUCAUGAUAGCGAUUAUUGCAGCGAUGAUCGGACUUUACAUAAUGACACUUGGAAAUAAAACUGAUGCUGCUGGAUGGGGCUGUGUGAUUGUUUUUCUACAGAUACUCUGGAUGGUUAUGAAGUUUACAGGCUAUUAUGGCUUUAUUGCUCAGGAUUUUCCUCGUGUUGUUCCUGUCUAUGUGUUUGGAUCAGUUGGUGUUGUGUUACUGAACUCUGUUGCUCUGAUGACUGAACUGAUACUGAAAACAGUUAAUGGUGCUCGUACAGUGGGAGAUCUGAGGUCUGUUGUCUUUCCUUCUGAAUGCUUCUUUGCCUUAUCUGUGGUGAUUGCAGGAAUAUUUCCAUCUGGCAUCGUAAAAUGUCUGCAGAAUAUAGUGAAGUCUAGACAAGCUCCAGCUGACAGAUCACAGAUCGACUGAAGAUCAGGAGAAAAGUCUGCCUGAUUCAAUAAAGCAGCAUGAUUUUCUGCAAGAUUGUUUUGAAACAACAUGGAUUGUAAAAAGCAUUAUAAAAAUAAAUAUAGUCACUGCUUAAAAUCUCAUGUAUUUCAACACUAAGCUGUGUUUGGUGUAAUUAUGUUAUUCAUUGUUAAUGUAAAUGGUUUUACAAUGUGAGCUCUGUGUUUUGUACUUGUUUUUUAAAUAGCUGUAAAUAAAUGCAGUGUAUGUUUUACUAAAUGCUUACUCUAUACAUAUGUUGAUUGUAAUACUUAAGUAAAGCUCAGUUCAUCUAUAUGUAGAGAUGAUGAAGAACUCAUAUGUGGUCUCUUCAGUGUUUUGGCUGAUCAGAGAGCAGUUGUACAGUGUUC